rnacentral:tRNA from 2 species
GCGGCUUUAGCUCAGCUGGUAGAGCGCUGGAUUGUGGUUCCAGAUGUCGCGGGUUCGAACCCCGCAAGCCGCCCCA